rnacentral:tRNA from 1 species
AGGCUUGUAGCUCAGGUGGUUAGAGCGCACCCCUGAUAAGUGAGGUCGGUGGUUCAAGUCCACUCAGGCCUACAA